UACGGAGGAUGCAAGCGUUAUCCGGAAUGAUUGGGCGUAAAGCGUCCGCAGGUGGCAAUGUAAGUCUGCUGUCAAAGCGUCUGGCUCAACCAGAUAAAGGCAGUGGAAACUACAUAGCUAGAGUAAGGUAGGGGUAGAGGGAAUUCCUGGUGUAGCGGUGGAAAUGCGUAGAGAUCAGGAAGAACACCGGUGGCGAAAGCGCUCUGCUGGACCUAAACUGACACUGAGGGACGAAAGCUAGGGGAGCGAAUGGG
rnacentral:rRNA from 1 species